rnacentral:rRNA from 1 species
CAAGUCCGAGCGAAUGGAUUAAGAAGCUUGCUCCUUAUGAAGUUAGCGGCGGACGGGUGAGUAACACGUGGGUAACCUGCCCAUAAGACUGGGAUAACUCCGGGAAACCGGGGCUAAUACCGGAUAACAUUUUGAACUGCAUGGUUCGAAAUUGAAAGGCGGCUUCGGCUGUCACUUAUGGAUGGACCCGCGUCGCAUUAGCUAGUUGGUGAGGUAACGGCUCACCAAGGCAACGAUGCGUAGCCGACCUGAGAGGGUGAUCGGCCACACUGGGACUGAGACACGGCCCAGACUCCUACGGGAGGCAGCAGUAGGGAAUCUUCCGCAAUGGACGAAAGUCUGACGGAGCAACGCCGCGUGAGUGAUGAAGGCUUUCGGGUCGUAAAACUCUGUUGUUAGGGAAGAACAAGUGCUAGUUGAAUAAGCUGGCACCUUGACGGUACCUAACCAGAAAGCCACGGCUAACUACGUGCCAGCAGCCGCGGUAAUACGUAGGUGGCAAGCGUUAUCCGGAAUUAUUGGGCGUAAAGCGCGCGCAGGUGGUUUCUUAAGUCUGAUGUGAAAGCCCACGGCUCAACCGUGGAGGGUCAUUGGAAACUGGGAGACUUGAGUGCAGAAGAGGAAAGUGGAAUUCCAUGUG